UGGAAGGGGCUCUCAGCUCUCCCUGGAGCCUUCUUUUCUCCAGGUGAACCCUCCUAACUCUCCCAGCCUGGCUCCAGAGCAGAGGGGCUCCAGCCCUGAGAGCAUCUCCGGGGCCUUCUCUGGACUCCCUCCAGUAGCUCCACGCCCUCCCUGGGC